ensembl:snRNA U6 U6 spliceosomal RNA
GUGCUUGCUUCAGCAGCACAUAUACUACAAUUAGAACAAUACAGAGAAGAUUAGCAUGGCCCCUGCACAAGGAUGACAUGUAGGUUCAUGAAGUGUUCCAUAUUAAA